rnacentral:rRNA from 1 species
AACGCUGGCGGCGUGCUUAACACAUGCAAGUCGAACGGAAAGGCCCCUUUGGGGGUGCUCGAGUGGCGAACGGGUGAGUAACACGUGGGUGAUCUGCCCUGCACUUUGGGAUAAGCCUGGGAAACUGGGUCUAAUACCGGAUAGGACCAUGGGAUGCAUGUUCUGUGGUGGAAAGCUUUUGCGGUGUGGGAUGGGCCCGCGGCCUAUCAGCUUGUUGGUGGGGUGAUGGCCUACCAAGGCGACGACGGGUAGCCGGCCUGAGAGGGUGUCCGGCCACACUGGGACUGAGAUACGGCCCAGACUCCUACGGGAGGCAGCAGUGGGGAAUAUUGCACAAUGGGCGCAAGCCUGAUGCAGCGACGCCGCGUGGGGGAUGACGGCCUUCGGGUUGUAAACCUCUUUCAGUAGGGACGAAGCGUGAGUGACGGUACCUACAGAAGAAGCACCGGCCAACUACGUGCCAGCAGCCGCGGUAAU